rnacentral:rRNA from 1 species
CCCCUACGGGACGCAGCAGUAGGGAAUCUUCCACAAUGGACGAAAGUCUGAUGGAGCAACGCCGCGUGAGUGAAGAAGGGUUUCGGCUCGUAAAGCUCUGUUGGUAGUGAAGAAAGAUAGAGGUAGUAACUGGCCUUUAUUUGACGGUAAUUACUUAGAAAGUCACGGCUAACUACGUGCCAGCAGCCGCGGUAAUACGUAGGUGGCAAGCGUUUUCCGGAUUUAUUGGGUUUAAAGGGUGCGUAGGCGGAAUGCCAAGUC